CUCGUAGGUGGUUUGUCGCGUUGUUCGUGAAAUCUCACGGCUUAACUGUGAGCGUGCGGGCGAUACGGGCAGACUUGAGUACUGCAGGGGAGACUGGAAUUCCUGGUGUAGCGGUGGAAUGCGCAGAUAUCAGGAGGAACACCGGUGGCGAAGGCGGGUCUCUGGGCAGUAACUGACGCUGAGGAGCGAAAGCGUGGGGAGCGAACAGGAUUAGAUACCCUGGUAGUCCACGCCGUAAACGGUGGGUACUAGGUGUGGGUUUCCUUCCUUGGGAUCCGUGCCGUAGUUAACGCAUUAAGUACCCCGCCUGGGGAGUACGGCCGCAAGGCUAAAACUCAAAGAAAUUGACGGGGGCCCGCACAAGCGGCGGAGCAUGUGGAUUAAUUCGAUGCAACGCGAAGAACCUUACCUGGGUUUGACAUGCACAGGACGCCGGCAGAGAUGUCGGUUCCCUUGUGGCCUGUGUGCAGGUGGUGCAUGGCUGUCGUCAGCUCGUGUCGUGAGAUGUUGGGUUAAGUCCCGCAACGAGCGCAACCCUUGUCUCAUGUUGCCAGCGGGUAAUGCCGGGGACUCGUGAGAGACUGCCGGGGUCAACUCGGAGGAAGGUGGGGAUGACGUCAAGUCAUCAUGCCCCUUAUGUCCAGGGCUUCACACAUGCUACAAUGGCCGGUACAAAGGGCUGCGAUGCCGCGAGGUUAAGCGAAUCCUUUUAAAGCCGGUCUCAGUUCGGAUCGGGGUCUGCAACUCGACCCCGUGAAGUCGGAGUCGCUAGUAAU
rnacentral:rRNA from 1 species